rnacentral:misc_RNA from 1 species
AAGUUGCAGCCCGACCUGAGCGGAGCUCAUUUUUUGCUUGAUCAUAAAGUUCUGUUAAGCCUAAAAUGUAUGCAAAAAAUAGCGGGAGCGGAGGGCGGAAAUUGCU